rnacentral:rRNA from 1 species
AUUGAACGCUGGCGGCAGGCCUAACACAUGCAAGUCGAGCGGCAGCGGGAGAGUAGCUUGCUACUUUUGCCGGCGAGCGGCGGACGGGUGAGUAAUGCCUGGGAAAUUGCCCAGUCGAGGGGGAUAACAGUUGGAAACGACUGCUAAUACCGCAUACGCCCUACGGGGGAAAGCAGGGGACCUUCGGGCCUUGCGCGAUUGGAUAUGCCCAGGUGGGAUUAGCUAGUUGGUGAGGUAAUGGCUCACCAAGGCGACGAUCCCUAGCUGGUCUGAGAGGAUGAUCAGCCACACUGGAACUGAGACACGGUCCAGACUCCUACGGGAGGCAGCAGUGGGGAAUAUUGCACAAUGGGGGAAACCCUGAUGCAGCCAUGCCGCGUGUGUGAAGAAGGCCUUCGGGUUGUAAAGCACUUUCAGCGAGGGGGAAAGGUUGGUGCCUAAUACGUAUCAACUGUGACGUUACUCGCAGAAGAAGCACCGGCUAACUCCGUGCCAGCAGCCGCCGUAAGAC